GCCCUUAUAGUUUAGUGGCUAUAACAUCUCACUCGUAUGUUGGGAUGAGAAGGUCCUGUGUUCGACUCGCAGUGGGGGCA